CUCUAACUGUGUUGCGGCUUGCAGGUGAUCCGGGACAUCCUGUUGAUAGGACACCGACAGGCGUUUGCCUGGGUAGACGAGUGGUGCGACAUGUCCCUGGAGGAGGUCCGUGCCUUCGAGACUCAGAUGCAAGUGGCCACAAACCAAAAGUUCGGAAGCCAGGACCCUUAGCUUCCUGCCUGCCCAGCUCGCCCAGGACCUCCCUUUGAAUGACAAUGGAGGAGGUGCGCAAGUAUGAGAGGGAAACCCAGGAAGCCACCAACGAGAUCAUUGGCGUGGUCACACCCUCCAUUUCCAUAAGCGAGGUGGGGCAAGCUCCGGUCACGCACAGUGCCCCAGCCAGUGCCCCUUCCACACCGCUCAGUGAUGAUCCCCCGGACUUCCUCAGCUCUCCCAAGGACAGGCCCCGGAAGAAAUCUGCUCCGGAAACACUGACACUGCCAGCCCUGCGGGAGCGCGCCAAUGCUGAGUAAUGGCUGCCCUACAGACAUGCUCGGUGGACAGAUGCUUGGCCCUCAUUUCCCACCCCUCAGAUCGGGGCACCCUACCCACUUUGCCUGCCUUGAGAAACAUAAAGACUACCGCUGCCCCCAACAUCAUUCCUGCCCCUUGUCCCCAAUAAAAAAGACAGCAGAUCCUAUUGUGAGCCAGAUGGGAGAAGCCCCUUUGUGAGGUCCCAGAUUUCCCUGCCAUCACAUGGGCCUUGGGCUCCCCUCAACCUGCUACCCAGCCCCACUCUCUUCUCAUCAUUCCAGCACAUGCCCUGCUUUCCCUGCCGUCGGUUCAGGGAGGAGCUCCAGCAUGUUGGAGCCAUUCCUUGGCCCAUCUGUAGACAGCUCUGUCCUGGCAGGUAACGUCCCUCAGAGCUGCUUUUGCUAGAGCCAGGUGGCAGCCGGUGGCAGCCCAGCCCUUCUCUGAAGGAACUUGGAAGCACCUUUCAGACUGUUGAUAAAAACCGCCAGGCAUUGAUUGAUCUCGGUUCCCACUGGCAAUGAGACCCACCAGGAUGUUUAACCUAUGUCCUUGCCACCUCCUGAGGAUUUCUGACUGUACCUCUGAGCUUCACAGUACCACAGCAACCCUGAGUCCACCAGCAUCCAGACUGUAACUCUGCAGCUGUGCCAAUGUCACCCGUGUCCCUCCAGCUUUGACAGGAGGGCAGAGAUGAGUUGUCAGGACUGCUUCUCCUGUUCCUAAUGUGAUGCUCCAGGCCACUGGUGAAGAGCCAGCAUCUCAACCAUCUCUACUCUGGGGACCUUUUCCACCUGUCACUAGCACUGGUUCAUCCAGCACUAGCAGUGUUGUAGUGUGGAAAAGGCUGUGACGCAGUCAGUUGAUCCCCUUCUAAGCAAGGGAUCAUAGGACUGGCGGGGCUGAUUUUAGUCACGUUUGGGCUGUGGAAAACCUUCCCUGCAGAGUGGAGCAUGGCAGCCUGGGUGUGAAUGAGGAGCCCACUUGGUAUGAAGCCACUGUUGACAAGACACCAUCACUGAGUUGCGGCUCUGGAUUAAUGCUUGUCAUAGUAGGACAGGCCUAGCCAUUGUCCCUAACAUAGACAAGCCCAAAAAGUACUGCUUGCCAUGUCUUGCCUCUGUCCUUCCCAGGUGAGCCUUUCCUGUGUCCAGAGUUGUGUUCUUGGUCUUGCCAAGGCCCUUUACUUUCACCAGUCCCCUCCAGAGUCCUGCAGCAAGAAGGGGUGAAGAUCUGUCCAUCCCAACCCACCUAGCCUUCUGCCAAGCAGCCUUCUCCCCACUGGUGCCUUCAGGACAAGGGUCAUCCCUGCGCCACUGCUCCAACAAAGAUUUCUGGCAACUAUUUGGACCCAUGGCUGGACCCGCUUCAUCACCAGCUAUUUCCAUUGCCCUCCAGGCACCUGGACUUAGCCUCCAAACUGCCUCACACUCACUCAGGUCCCUGAGGAGUGGGUCCCAUCAUAGCUGGGCCUGCGGGGUAUGUCAACCAUGGGUACUGAACAAGUGCAGACUCCAGCUCCAAGUGCAUCCAGCACAAACCAGCUGAGCCUUCAUGCUGGGUUUGAACCUCAGAUACAAGCACACACUGAAUUGCACUGAUUCCUAAACAGGAAUCCCCCAACCCUCUGCCCUCUGCUUGGGCCUCAGCACAGGUCCCUUUGUUCAAGUAUUUUUUAACUGUCUUCGCUACAGUUUGUGUCCUGGACAAACAGAAAUGGAACAGCCAACCUCUCCUCCAGGAAACUACAUGCUGCUGAUCGAUCAACCAAAGGUCUACAUGGGAUGCAGCUCUGCCAGCUAAUUUGGAUGGGCCAAGUCCAGGUGAAUCUGCUGUGCUCCCAUGAUGUGCAGAAUGCUGUCCGCAUGGAACCUGGGGCUUGGGAGGGACCUCGGGGGUCAUCUGCUUCAACACCCUGCUCUGUACUUUCCACUGGGGGUUGAGGGUCACCAGCACCAUACAUGGUGGAUCAUGCCUCUGCUGUGUGAUAUGAGCCACUGGAAGAGUAGCUUGGAGGCUGGUUGGGAUUCAGGUAUCCCUUUGAAGCAUUAGGUCAUGACAGGAAAAGGCUGGGUCUGGAGGAGCCCCCACAGGGUUGGCUGCUUCUCCUAACUUGUCAGAACCUCUAGGGUCUGCAGAAUGGGUCUGGAAGUCUAAUAGGAACAGGCUCUGACUAUUUUAUCACCUUUGCCUCUGGAUGGAGCCAGGAUGGCCAGAGGCCUUGUGAACAUGGGAGAAGUUUUACUGAUUGUUUGUGGACCUUGGACAAGGUUGUGCUUAGGUCUGGGGAGAAGGUGAGGGGUAAUUUUUAAUUGGAUUCUAGUUUGGCCUCCUCUUCAACCCAGACUGUGGAAAGGGCCAAAGGAGUCAUGCAGAAAACCUGUUCGCUGUAAUGGAAAGGAAUGGUCCCACAAAUGACACUGAGGGACUGGGUAUUUAAGAUGGGCCAUGGCUGGAUUCUGAACCCCUUCAAAAGGGAAGGACUUGGCUUGGGAACAUGGCAUCCACCCACACCCAUGGGCUCUGGGUCAGUUCCACACUGGAAGGGAUCUGUUUCCUGUUCUAGUCUGGAUGUAGCCGAAUCUCCCCAGAAAAGCCAUGUGGCAAGAUUUUGCACCAUCACAUUUGCACUGAGGCCCAGCAUUUUGCUUUGGUUCUAAGUCAAGAGCCCAGCUCUGUACAGGUUGAGCCUGGUGUCCUCAGCCCAUCUCUUCUGAAUGGUAUUUUCCCUUGCCAAACAGAUUUUAAAGCCCCUUCUCAUGUCCCCUGAAUUGUAUGCCCCUUGCCCAAGCUUUGUACAGAAUGGGCUAGAACCUGUCCCUAGGUUCCUUGGAGCCUGAGCCUUGUUCUCUGGGGCUCAGACCCUUGUGAGGGGCUCGGUCUCUGCCUCGCCUGGAGCAGAUGCAGCAUUUCCGUCUGGACUUCUCUGUGUUGUGUCUUUAAUUCUCACCCCUCAAGGGUUUCCCCUUUAUGCCCACCUCUUGGGCUGUGGAAAGCCUGUGUGAGGCUGUUGGUAUCAGCCUUGGGUAUAUGUGAGCUUGUGUUUUCCUCCUGCAGCCAGGCUCCUCUGGCUCUUGCCCCUGGACAUUUUGGUUCGUCUCACGCAUGCGUCCAGGUCCCAAGGCCUUCCUGAUAUGCCCACCGUGGAGCUGUGCAGUAGCUGGUGAUGGCAGGGGCUGCACAGAGAGGUUAGUUCUAGUGCUGUGCAGGAAGGAUAGAGGCAAGUGCUGGAGCUGAGGGGACGAUGCUGUGGUGCCUAGCCCUUUGCAGUGGGCACCUGAGGCUGAUGGUUCUGUCUCUGCAGAGCCCCUCAUCCCUCCCUCCCUCCCUCACUGCUUGGAGCUUUGCUCUGCACCCCGUACCUGGAAGCAGGGAUUUGCUGAUGACCAAACCAAGCAUGAGCCAGGAGGAGCCAGAUGUCUGUGGGGUUGAAUGUAUCUUGUAUGAAUGUACCAGAUGAUGUAGCAUUCCCCACCCCUUCCCCUGCCCCACCCAGCCUGUCUCCUCUCUAGCCUCCUGGAUCCUCAGGAGUCUCUUUAUUUCUCUCCUGCCCGGGGUCCCCAUCCCAGGAGGCAGCUGGUCACUGUGAGUUGGAGAGUCCUCAGGGCCCAGCCCCAGCUCCUGGAAGCUCCCUCCCAACAGACACUUGUGAAGCGAGAGCACAAAGGAUUUUUCCUGCUCAGAGGCCAGGCCCCUGCUCCAGAAGGUGUGAGCAUGGGACUUGUCCCCGCCACUCCUGCCUGUCACGAGGCCCAUGGGCCCCACCAUCUCCAGCAACACAGUCUGGGCCUAGGGGGAGCAGGCUUGCCCUCGAAAAUGCUAACAUCCCCUGGUGUCUGCUUCAGGCAACGUGAAUCGUUCCUCAUGAGCUAGUUCCUUACUGAUUGCCCUUGCCACUUACUGCUCACUUGGAGGCCACUUGUGUUUGGAGGGGGCGAGGCAGUGGCUGGCUCAGGCCUUGGCUUUCUUUGUUACAACAAAGGCCUUUUGAGAAAUAAAGCGAAAGAAGCUGC